UACGAAGGGUGCAAGCGUUAAUCGGAAUUACUGGGCGUAAAGCGCGCGUAGGUGGUUCAGUAAGUUGGAAGUGAAAUCCCCGGGCUCAACCUGGGAACUGCUUUCAAAACUGCUGAGCUAGAGUACGGUAGAGGGUGGUGGAAUUUCCUGUGUACCGGUGAAAUGCGUAGAUAUAGGAAGGAACACCAGUGGCGAAGGCGACCACCUGGACUGAUACUGACACUGAGGUGCGAAAGCGUGGGGAGCAAACAGG
rnacentral:rRNA from 1 species